GCCUGAGUGGCUCACUGGUUGGGCACCUGGCUUUGGCUCAGGGCAUGAUCCUGGAUUCCCGGGUUCGAGUCCCGCAUCAGGCU
rnacentral:tRNA from 1 species